rnacentral:rRNA from 1 species
UACGGAGGGUGCAAGCGUUAUCCGGAUUCACUGGGUUUAAAGGGAGCGUAGGUGGCUUUGUAAGUCAGUGGUGAAAUAUUGCGGCUCAACCGCAAAAACUGCCAUUGAUACUGCUUAGCUUUGAAUCACGUCGAGGUGGAUGGAAAUAAUACAUGUAGCGGUGAAAAUGCUUUAGAUAUGUGUUAGAACACCGAUUUGCGAAGGCAGUUCACUAGGCGUGUAUUUGACACUGAGGCUCGAAAAGAUGGGGAUGAACAGAGUGAUACCCUGUAGGUCCAAGAACCAAUGAUCCUCUUCGCUACCCGUA